UACGGAGGGAGCUAGCGUUGUUCGGAAUACUGGGCGUAAAGCGCACGUAGGCGGCGAUUCAAGUCAGAGGUGAAAGCCCGGGGCUCAACCCCGGAACUGCCUUUGAAACUAGAUUGCUAGAAUCUUGGAGAGGUCAGUGGAAUUCCGAGUGUAGAGGUGAAAUUCGUAGAUAUUCGGAAGAACACCAGUGGCGAAGGCGACUGACUGACAAGUAUUGACGCUGAGGUGCGAAAGCGUGGGAGCAACAGG
rnacentral:rRNA from 1 species